rnacentral:lncRNA from 1 species
AAGCAGGUUUGUGUGGUGGAUAGUAUUACACGUAGGCAGUGUUCGAGUAGACGGAGUCGUCGUGGUUGGGCAUGUGGUAGCGGUUGGUGAACCAGGUGGUGUCCGCGGUGACCUUGUUGCCGUCGUGGUUGCGGUACCAGGCGUAGUGUGCGUGCGUGUGGUUCUUGAUGUCCAGCACGGCGUGGCCGUAGCUGUACUCCCGGAACGCCGAGUAGGCCGGCUGCGGCCAGGUGAGCUCGUCGGCGAGGCCCUCGAUGUUGCCGCCGUCGCCGAUGACGAUGUAUACUGGGGCGCGGCGGUCGGCGACGGGCGUGCACUUGCCGUCGGUGAUGUUGUACUUGAUGUUGGAGUACCGGUGGCUGCGCUCGUAGGCGUGGACGUGGCCGGCGAAGACGAUGUCGACGCGGGC